rnacentral:misc_RNA from 1 species
AUAAUCAGCUUUAUAUUUAGUAUAGGAUAUAAAUUUGAAAGCCCGUAAUAGCACCAUCUGCUGAUGAAACCAGGUGUGGUCUCACAUGAGCGUUUUGCUAUAUACCAUCAGUGCAUAGUGAGAACAUGAAACAAUGGGUUAGUAUAAUAUCCUGACCCAUCACAAGUCUUUAUCUGCUGCUACCUUGCUUAGCAGCUCCAGCAGUAGUUGUUGUCAUGAAAGAUUCACCACAACCACAUUGGCCUUUAGAGUUUGGAUUAAUAAAUAUGAACUCAGACCUCAGUUUGUCAUCAACAAAAUCCAUCUUAGUGCCAAUAACAUGCAUGAGAGCUUUUGGAUCAAUCAGUAUCUUUACACCCUUUUCCUCAACCAA